CCUAGCAUCCUCACUUCAACACUUUUUCUUCUGUACCGUUUCCGGAUAAACUUGACCAGCAUCCUAUAAAUUCCACUCCUCCUACUAAGUCUCAUUAAAUAACCAUCUACCUCCUCCUUCCUCACUAGAAUCUAUCUCCUAUAAAUACUUAUACUAUCAUACAACAUGGCGACAUCCCAGAUCUCUAUUGAUUUGAAAAACGGGCAAUGUAAACAGACAGUUGUAACACAUCUUCUAUGUUUCUUAGAGGAGCUUGAUGUGAAAAGAGGUUGAGAUCAUCGUCGUGGAUAUGCUGCUUCUUGAUGAAAAGGUUUUGUAAACGUCAAUUGCAGGAACACAUUCAACCACCUCCGUUCCAAGAAGAAGAUUGGCAAUUGCGUUAAAGCAGCCACCACAGUAAGCUUGUGGAUGCUUUUUCCUUAUUUCUGAGAUUCCAAAGGCAAGUUGUGGACGCCUUUUUCUUAUAUCUGAGGUUCUAAAGGCUUGGCCACCUCUGUUUUUGUUGUUGUGUUUCCUCAUGUUACUCAAAUGAGUUCUUUUCCGGUUUUGCAUGAAAGAAGAUGUAGAACAUUUUGAGGAUUUGAAAGAAGAAGAUCAUAUUUGAUCAAUAAAGAAACAGCGAAAGAAGGGAAUGAUGUUGAUGAUGACGUUCAUCUUGACAGUGACAAACCCACACGUAGAGAUGGUGUCUCUUCUUCAGACAACGACGUGGCUUUUGCGGUCAGGCAAUAUGAUGAAAGAUGAUUAUGGUUCGGAUAUGAGGAAGAGCUAUUUAUAAAGAAACACUCCACAAGCUCUAAGAAACCAAAGAAUUUCCUAAUGAUUGAAAAAUCCAAGCGCCAUUGAAAUCAAAUUGUUUUCUUGGAGGCUACGAUCCUCGCCAUAGAGAGCCUUCUUACUGGUCAGUUAAUUGUACCAGUUCUUUUCAUAUUAUUUUAUUUUAUCUUUUCUGAUUUUUUAUUUGUGUUCUUUUUCCUGAGUUCCUUUCAUAAUGCUCGAUAGUGUAUUAUAGAGAUUUUGUAGCGAUAUAAACAAAUAUA